GCUAGUUCGGGCUCUGAUCGUCUGAAUGUAUGCUAUUCUCACAGGCCUCCCUUAAAUACACGUGCUUCCUGCCUCUUCCUUGUCCUGCAGGGUGAAGAACAAAAUUUUGCUGGAAGAAGAUUAAGCCCAGAAAAUCAGGGCGGGAACUUGAGCCUGAAGCAGGGAAAAUGGGAUGGUUCUGGGGCUCAAAACCCCUCGUGUUUGCAAAGAUGUGACAGGGGGCCACAGGCUGUGCAGCCGCCCAGCUCAGCUACCAGGUAUCCCGGAGAGCCUGCUGCGUCAGUGUAAGAAACAGCUCUAGAAUCUUCACGGUGUGUCUGUACUGGGCAAUCUAAUCAUUCCCUAUCGGAAGGCAUGUCAAGUUGUUACUACUUAUACAAAAAAAUAAGAUAAUGCUAUAAUAAACAAUUGGC
rnacentral:lncRNA from 1 species